GUCUGCGGCCACACCACCCUGAAUGUGCAGGGUCUCCUCUGAUCUAGGACGCUCAGCACGGGCGGGUCUGGUUAGUACUUGGAUGGGAAGAAUUACCCACUAUAAGAUAAACCAGAUGCAACGUCUU
rnacentral:rRNA from 1 species